rnacentral:ncRNA from 19 species
UAAAGCGGAAUAGCGCCAGGACUUUAGAAUCUAAAGUUGACGAGGAUGACGUUUAUCGAUAAUCGACGGGUGACGUCAGGGACUGCACUCUACAGGUCAAUUACAAAAACCGACUGUGAGGUUGGUGACAGAUAUAUUGACCACGCAGCUAG